rnacentral:rRNA from 1 species
AUACAGGCUAGCGGCGGACGGGUGAGUAACACGUGGGUAACCUGCCCAAGAGAUCGGGAUAACACCUGGAAACAGAUGCUAAUACCGGAUAACAACAGAUGAUGCCUAUCAACUGUUUAAAAGAUGGUUCUGCUAUCACUCUUGGAUGGACCUGCGGUGCAUUAGCUAGUUGGUAGGGUAACGGCCUACCAAGGCGAUGAUGCAUAGCCGAGUUGAGAGACUGAUCGGCCACAUUGGGACUGAGACACGGCCCAAACUCCUACGGGAGGCAGCAGUAGGGAAUCUUCCACAAUGGACGCAAGUCUGAUGGAGCAACGCCGCGUGAGUGAAGAAGGGUUUCGGCUCGUAAAGCUCUGUUGUUGGUGAAGAAGGACAGGGGUAGUAACUGACCUUUGUUUGACGGUAAUCAAUUAGAAAGUCACGGCUAACUACGUGCCAGCAGCCGCGGUAAUACGUA